rnacentral:pre_miRNA from 1 species
AUAUGAAUAGCAGGGCUUUCUCCCUCGGCAAAGAAGAUGUAGUAUAGCCAAGCCAAGCAGUAUUGGUUUUUCUUUGCCAAAGGAGAAUUGCCCUGCCAUUCACUC